ACGGGAGGCAGCAGUGGGGAAUAUUGCACAAUGGGGGAAACCCUGAUGCAGCGACGCCGCGUGAGCGAUGAAGUAUUUCGGUAUGUAAAGCUCUAUCAGCAGGGAAGAUAAUGACGGUACCUGACUAAGAAGCCCCGGCUAACUACGUGCCAGCAGCCGCGGUAAUACGUAGGGGGCAAGCGUUAUCCGGAUUUACUGGGUGUAAAGGGAGUGUAGGUGGUUUGGCAAGCCAGAUGUGAAAACCCGGGGCUCAACCCCGCGGACUGCAUUUGGAACUGUUAAACUUGAGUGCAGAAGAGGAAAGUGGAACUCCUAGUGUAGCGGUGAAAUGCGUAGAUAUUAGGAGGAACACCAGUGGCGAAGGCGGCUUUCUGGACUGUAACUGACACUGAGGCUCGAAAGCGUGGGGAGCAAACAGGAUUAGAUACCCUGGUA
rnacentral:rRNA from 1 species